GAGCUAGAUAGCUCCUGUACUCUCGAAAGUAGUGCACGUACAACUGUCUUUUCUUUUUCCUCCUUAUGCCCUUCUGUGACUGAGUUUUCUGUGGUUGGGAGGAUGGAUGUUUUCUUGCUGACUGCCGACCUCGUCUAAACAUCUAUCGCUCAAACCUCUGUGAGGAUGUAUCGAACAUCGAGUCAUGUGAUGAAUGAGUCCCUUGUGUCCCCUCAGGCUGUGACUGAUCAGUUGGAACCUUAUGUGAAAUAUUUUUUUCUGUCCAUUGCUCUGGAUCUAUUCUGAUCUCUCUAGCUACCACACUGGCUGGUCAUAGAGGGGACCCCGGCUCAUCAAUAUCUGGCUCUUGCUGCUGACCUGCAAGCCAUCCGAUGAUCAGAUUGUCGUCCUCGUCAGCAUAAUCAUCUAAUGUCCGAUCAGUGUACUUCAGUUGUACUUCUUCCUGAAUAUGUUUUAGCCUCAAUCUCAUAUUAUAGUGAACAUAUACAAGAUCAUUGAGGUAUUUUUAUGUCAGAUGAUUUCUCUGUUUGUUGUGGAUAAGGACAAAAGUCGAUCAAUUACGCUCACAGCCACUAGCAGAGAUCGUCUGGAAAAGAAUGUGGACAGCCACACCUCUCAAAUAUUCUGCGGA
rnacentral:lncRNA from 1 species